CGCCUUGCAGCUGGGUUGCUUCUCGCGUGCCCCUUGUGAUGGGAGGAUUAGAUCGCAGGCUCCACCCUACGUCAUCCUCCCAAGCUUCUCAAGCGUCUGGCGCUUGGGGUCACUGCCCCCAAGGAGGCACUUGGAGGGGGGGAUGGCGUCCACUCCGAUGGGGAAUGAGAGGGAGAAGAAGAGCAGCUGGCCGUCUCAAACUGCACCCUCCUUGAGAGGAGGUCCGGCUUCGUUAUCUCGUUCUGAGGAAUACCUGUCCCGGAUCAGUGCAGAACUCACCGAGGAGGCUUUGUGCACUGCUUGCUGCCACUUGAACCCUGUGCCCAUCAAAAAACAGCAGUCACAAGACCAAGCGACUCAGAUAUCCAAACGCGCAUUCUUCACCAAGACCUGAGGCACAGACACCUGGUGAGUGAGGCUCCAAGGGAGAUGCUUUGUCCUGGGAGAGAGCCCUCUCCCCUCUCUUCCGCCAUCUCCUGCUCCGACAGAAACCGUACCUGCAGCAAGGCACACCUCCUGCCAACUCCUGGUGAAAAGAACAUGCCUCAAAACUACUCUUUUGCCACUUGUUAACCACUUCCAUUUGUGGGGACCUCCUGGUCAUGAGCAGCAUCAUCCCGAAGCCUUCAAAGUGUUCUGGAUUCAUCACAGGACCCUCCAGCCUCAGCGAGCAAGGACACCAACAGGAAUGAAAGCGCUUUAAUAAAGAGACAGGGUGUGCAUUGCU
rnacentral:sRNA from 1 species